UACGUAGGGGGCAAGCGUUGUUCGGAAUUACUGGGCGUAAAGCGCGCGUAGGCGGCCGACUAAGUCAGAGGUGAAAUCCCUCGGCUUAACCGGGGAACUGCGUCUGAUACUGGAUGGCUUGAGAUUGGGAGAGGGAUGCGGAAUUCCAGGUGUAGCGGUGAAAUGCGUAGAUAUCGAGAGGAACACCUGCGGCGAAGGCGGGUUGCUGGGCUGACACUGACGCUGAUGUGCGAAAGCUAGGGGAGCGAACGGG
rnacentral:rRNA from 1 species